rnacentral:rRNA from 1 species
CAGCAGCCGCGGUAAUACGUAGGUGGCAAGCGUUGUCCGGAUUUAUUGGGCGUAAAGGGAGCGCAGGCGGUGACUUAAGUCUGAUGUGAAAGCCCACGGCUCAACCGUGGAAGGUCAUUGGAAACUGGGUCACUUGAAUACAGAAGAGGAAAGUGGAAUUCCAUGUGUAGCGGUGAAAUGCGUAGAUAUAUGGAGGAACACCAGUGGCGAAGGCGACUUUCUGGUCUGUUAUUGACGCUGAGGCUCGAAAGCAUGGGUAGCAAACAGGAUUAGAUACCCUGGUAGUCCAUGCCGUAAACGAUGAGUGCUAGGUGUUGGGGGGCUUCCACCCCUCGGUGCCGAAGUUAACGCAUUAAGCACUCCGCCUGGGGAGUACGGCCGCAAGGCUUAAACUCAAAGGAAUUGACGGGGACCCGCACAAGCGGUGGAGCAUGUGGUUUAAUUCGAAGCAACGCGAAGAACCUUACCAGCUCUUGACAUCUUCUGACAACUCUAGAGAUAGAGUGUUCCCUUCGGGGACAGAAUGACAGGAGGUGCAUGGCC